rnacentral:rRNA from 1 species
AUUGAACGCUGGCGGCAGGCCUAACACAUGCAAGUCGAACGAGUGGCGGACGGGUGAGUAAUGUCUGGGAAACUGCCCGAUGGAGGGGGAUAACUACUGGAAACGGUAGCUAAUACCGCAUACCAUCGGAUGUGCCCAGAUGGGAUUAGCUAGUAGGUGGGGUAACGGCUCAACUAGGCGACGAUCCCUAGCUGGUCUGAUAGGAUGACCAGCCACACGGGAACUGAGACACGGUCCAGACUCCUACGGGAGGCAGCAGUGGGGAAUAUUUCACAAUGGGCGAAAGCCUGAUGCAUCCAGGCCGCGUGUAUGAAGAAGGCCUUCGGGUUGUAAAGUACUUUCAGCGGGGAGGCGUUACCCGCAGAAGAAGCACCGGCUAACUCCGUGCCAGCAGCCGCGGUAAUUC